UGGGGAAUAUUGGACAAUGGGGGAAACCCUGAUCCAGCAAUGCCGCGUGAGUGAAGAAGGCCUUAGGGUUGUAAAGCUCUUUCGCCCGCGAAGAUAAUGACGGUAGCGGGAGAAGAAGCCCCGGCUAACUCCGUGCCAGCAGCCGCGGUAAUACGUAGGGGGCAAGCGUUGUCCGGAUUUACUGGGUGUAAAGGGCGCGCAGGCGGGAUGGAAAGUCAGUGGUGAAAUCCUACAGCUUAACUGUAGAACUGCCUUUGAUACUUUCAAUCUUGAGUUCGGGGAAAAGAGACGGAAUUCCAGGUGUAGUGGUGAAAUACGUAGAUAUCUGGAAGAACACCAGGUGCGAAGGCGGUCUCUCGGUCCGAUACUGACGCUGAGGGGCGAAAGCGUGGGGAGCAAACA
rnacentral:rRNA from 1 species